rnacentral:misc_RNA from 1 species
GAAAUGCGAUAAGUAGUGUGAAUUGCAGAAUUCCGUGAAUCAUCGAAUCUUUGAACGCACAUUGCGCCUUCUGGUAUUCCGGGAGGCAUGCCUGUUCGAGCGUCAUUAAAACCACUCAAGCUUUCUUGCUUGGUCUUGGAGGCAGAGCAGCCCAAUCGGCGCGCCUCUCCUCUGAAAUUCAAUGGCGGUCUGGUUCUGUUACCUUGCUUAGUAAGCUUUUGCCUCGUAAAGUCAACACGAAUCGGCUUGCCGGUGAAUCCCCACAUUUCUCUAGGUUGACCUCGGAUCAGGUAGGGAUACCCGCUGAACUUAAGC